UAUUUGGGCAUCUCAGUCGAUAUAACUAAUUGUUGAAGGGAUUUGUAAUUUUAAUAUUUUAUAGAUUUGUUAGACCUAAUUAACCAGGAGCAGUUGCGAAAAAUGCAACUUUUGGUUAGAGUUCGACAACUGACUCUCUAGCUCAGAGGGUUCCUGCCAGAGGGUCUACCCAAUGUAUAAAAAUCAACUCGACAUUUCCGUCUACACAAAUCCCUAAUGUUGACAAUUAGUUUUAUGUUACAUGACCAAUAUUAAUAUCAAUGAUGAUAUAGGCUCAUUUAGCUAUAUUCGGUGUCCUUGCAUGUUUGUCAAUAUUUAACAGAUUUAUAAAGAAAUAUAAUUAUAUAGUCAUUUAAAAUAUUUGUGUGUGUUAUUUGCCAAUGUCAAUGAUGUGCUGUACAUACAUAUGUGUGUUUCUUUUCUAUGUUUAAGUACAUAAUACCCAGAUCUGAAAGGUGUUUAACGAACACUUUGAAAUUUGCGUUGAGGUAUUUUAAGCCCUAUGCCCCUAUGGCUAUCCUAUGGUUAUUGUUGAAAGCAAGUAUCUUCAAUAAUUAUCAAAACCCCUAAAUAUUUUAUGUAAAUAAUUU